rnacentral:rRNA from 1 species
CGAUCUUCCCUUGCGGGCGAGUCUGUCUCUCGUCCUUAUUUGUCUUGGGCGUCACCUACUCUUAUUUGCCUGGGCGCGCUACACGGCGCCGUUACCUUGAAUAAAUUAUGGUGUUCAAAGCAAGCAAUAGCUCUGAGUACAUUAACAUGGAAUAACAGCAUAGGACUCCGGUCUUAUUGCGUUGGUCUUCUGAUCGGAGUAAUGAUUAAUAGGGACGGUCGGGGGCAUUCCUACUUCAUUGUUAGAGGUGAAAUUCUUGGAUCAAUGAAAGACGAACUUCUGCGAAAGCAUUUGCCAAGGAUGUAUUCAUUAAUAAAGAAAUAAAGUUAAGCGAGCGAAUACGA